rnacentral:tRNA from 1 species
GAAGGUAGAGCUCAGUGGUAAAGCACAUGCUUAGCAUGCACAAGGUCCUGGGUUCAACCCCCAGCACCACCA